AACGAACGCUGGCGGCAUGCCUAACACAUGCAAGUCGAACGAGACCUUCGGGUCUAGUGGCGCACGGGUGCGUAACGCGUGGGAACCUGCCCUUAGGUUCGGAAUAACUCCCCGAAAGGGGUGCUAAUACCGGAUAAGGUCUUCGGACCAAAGAUUUAUCGCCUUUGGGUGGGCCUUCGUUGAAUUAGCUAGUUGGUAGGGUAAAAGCCUACCAAGUCGACGAUCCAUAGCUGGUCUGAGAGGAUGAUCAGCCACACUGGGACUGAGACACGGCCCAGACUCCUACGGGAGGCAGCAGUGGGGAAUAUUGGACAAUGGGCGAAAGCCUGAUCCAGCAAUGCCGCGUGAGUGAUGAAGGCCUUAGGGUUGUAAAGCUCUUUUAACCGGGAUGAUAAUGACAGUACCAGGAGAAUAAGCCCCGGCUAACUACGUG
rnacentral:rRNA from 1 species